rnacentral:lncRNA from 1 species
AGAGUGAAGUACUUGUCGAGAAGCCAUCGAGUGUUUCCAAAACACAGUGAGCCGAGGGGAGCUGCACUUCUUGAUGAUUGACCAUGUAACCCAGGAGAGAUUCGUGGAUGAGGUCACUUUGUCCAGUGAUGCUCCAGGAUGGUCACCCAGGAACUUUUCAUCAGCUAGCCAAGAAACCAGUGGAAUUGCUGAGCGGUGAGUGAAGCUGGCUGUGCUGUGGCUCCCACAGCUCAGAUCUGAGCUGGGCUGUGCCCUGGAAAGCCAGGGCAGAGGGUCCCCCGGGAGGCCCUGGAACAGGAGUUCAGGCAGGGACUAGAUAGGCCCCCAGCAGUGCUCAGAGUGGGACAGAGGAGAACACACAGAGAGGACUGCACUCAGGACAGCGCACAUUCAAGGGGAGUCUGGAGUCAGUGAGGGGCAGCUGGUAGGGGAGGCAGCAGGCGAGCUGGGCUUCCACACACAGCUACACUUUUACAAGGUGAGGAAGGGGGGAAAAGGCAUUCCAGGGGAAGGGAGUAGCAUAAGCAAAGGCCUGGAGGCUGAGGUGUGACCAGAAGCAAGGAGAGGCAUGGGCUGGCUCAGUCCUUACAGCCUGCGACUCUCCAUUGUGAGUUCAAGCUCCAUGUUGGGCCUGGAGCCUACUUCAAAUAAAAAUUAAAAAAGAAAAAAAGAAAAGAAGAAG